rnacentral:rRNA from 1 species
UACGAAGGGGGCUAGCGUUGCUCGGAUUGACUGGGCGUAAAGGGCGCGUAGGCGGAUAGUACAGUCAGGCGUGAAAUUCCUGGGCUCAACCUGGGGGCUGCGUUUGAUACGUAUUGUCUGGAGUUCGGAAGAGGGUCGUGGAAUUCCCAGUGUAGAGGUGAAAUUCGUAGAUAUUGGGAAGAACAUCGGUGGCGAAGGCGGCGACCUGGUCCGAUACUGACGCUGAGGCGCGAAAGCGUGGGGAGCAAACAGG